GUAAAACAGGGGAGGGUUUUUUACAUGUCGCGCCGUAUCUCAAAAACCAUUUAUGAUUAUUGCUUAAAAUUUUACACACUUCUUUGUUAUAUUAAUCUAAAGAUCUGUAUACUUUUUGGUGAUGAUUAAAAAUUUUAUUUUUGAGUUCUUGAGUAUUUUGUAUAACAGGGGAGGUUUUUUUUACAUGUCACGCGGUAUCUCAAAAAUAAUUUAUGAUUGUUGUAUUAAAACUUUACACACUUUUUUGUUAUAUUAAUCUAAAGAUCUGUAUACUUUUUGGUUUUGAUUCAAAAUUUUAUUUUAAUGAUAUUUAGUUUAAAAAAAAAAAAAAAAACAGGGUGGGGGGUUUCACAUGUCCCGCCUUGUCUCAAAAACUAUAUAUGGUUAUUGCUUUAAACUUUCUCAGAAACUAUUUAUGAUUAUUGCAUAAAACUUCCACACAAGACGUCGGCUUAUCAUGCGCUCAUGGCGCAGCUGUUUAUUGAAUUUAGUAUUGAUUCAAAAACAAGAAUAUGUGGUAUGAUUGCCAAUGAGAC
rnacentral:lncRNA from 1 species